CGUGGAGACAGGUGGUGCAUGGCUGUCGUCAGCUCGUGUCGUGAGAUGUUGGGUUAAGUCCCGCAACGAGCGCAACCCUCACCCCUUGUUGCCAUCAGGUCACGCUGGGCACUCUAGGGGAACUGCCCCGGUCAACGGGGAGGAAGGUGGGGACGACGUCAAGUCAUCAUGCCCCUUACGCCCUGGGCUACACACGUGCUACAAUGGCCGGUACAAAGGGAUGCAAGACCGUGAGGUGGAGCUAAACCCAAAAAGCCGGUCUAAGUUCAGAUUGGAGUCUGCAACUCGACUCCAUGAAGGAGGAAUCGCUAGUAAUCGCGCAUCAGCACGGCGCGGUGAAUACGUUCCCGGGCCUUGUACACACCGCCCGUCACACCACGAAAGCCAGCUGUACUCGAAGUCGCUGAG
rnacentral:rRNA from 1 species